AUGAAAAGACGAAACUGGGCUGGAAACCCGAAAUGUUCCUUCUGCACAGAUAGAGAAACCUCGCAACACCUUUUCUUCACCUGCCCAGUUGCCAGGGUAGUCUGGAGAACUGUUGGGUGUGUCCUGGGCACGGAUUUAUGUCCUGACAAUUUGUGGCAAUAUUUCUCCUGGUGCUAUGUCUUCUUACCGGAUGGAUCUAAGUUAUAUACCUUUGGCCUUGCUGCAAUAUGCUGGGCUAUGUGGAGUCGUAAUCGGGCCACAUUCGAACAUAAGAAGCUAAAAACUCCUUUUGAUGUGGUUUUUUCUGCAUGUGGAUAUCUGAAUUAUUGGGCAGGUCUGAUGGAUGGAGUUGAUCGCGAGGCAAUGGAGCGCGGCGCCAAGAUGCUGAAGACCAAUGCGGCUACCAUGAUGAGGAUCUGUGCGGCCGCAGCUGAACCAGCGAUGGACUGA
rnacentral:rRNA from 1 species